GGGAUACCUUGCUAAGAAGAAUAUUCUCCAGCUCCAUCCAUGUAAACAUGAAAGAGAUGUUAUUGUGUCUGGUGAGGACAUCUUGUCACUGCAAAGGGAGCCAGCUGGAGGACAAACCCAACAUCCUGAGGACAGGAGAGCAGAGAGAUGAAAACCACCUGGGUUGCUGAGGACCUUUUAAGCCACUCAUUGAACCACUGCACGGAAGCCACUACUUCUAGACUUACCAAGGAGAUCUGUUGAAAGACCUUGAUUGCUGCCUGGAGGAGGAGGAAGGAGGGUUGGGCAAGAAAACCGAAAUGAUUGCAGUUCAGUUCCAGAGUUGAGUGACUUUCUCUGAGCCUCCCAGAGCCUAAAUCACUGCCUUACCUGAGGGGGCUGACAUCAUGGCACCCACAGCGGCAGACAGACUCCUGUAGACGCUGACCGGGUGAUUUUCUGGGCCCUGAACCUCAGGAGACUAUCCCUCUGCUGCUAGCAAAGAUGUGGUCCUCAUCAGAGCCACAUCCAGGGCGCCUCUGCUUUGUAGACAGAGUGGACUUUCAGCUUUGAGGGUGCUUUCCUCCCAUCAUAGAGACCCUUCUGGAUACCUCAGGACGACUGAUUUUCUGAACCCAUCUCCCCUGACUGAUUUGAGGUCACGUUGAAAUUAUUACCCUCACAAACAGGUUUUCAAACUUGCUCCCAACUUUUAGUUGGGAAAAUCUGCAUUAAGCCUUUGAAAAACAAACAAAACAUCAUAGCUACCCUGUUUUCCCGAAAAUAAGACAUCCUCCGAAAAUAAGACCUACUUACAGGAAAGAUAAGAUGUCCCCUGAAAAUAAGACCUAGCACAUCUUUGGGAGCACACCUUAAAAUAAGACACUGUCUUAUUUUUGGGGAAACAGGGUAUUUUAUUUUUUAUGAAGCAGAGCCAGAAAUGGGUAUCAGGGCCUGCUCAAGGGUGAGCGGAUGUGUUGGAGGAGUGUGUGUGUGCGCGUGUGUGUGUGUGUUAGGGCAGUUCAUAGGGGACAGUGGAAAGCUGGUGAAGUGAGGGAAAGAAGAGGAUAUGGAAGUAGAAAGAUAAAAAGGAACAUUUAAAAGAAUCAUUUUGGGGGUAGGAAAAUUCAACUCAAGACAUCAAGCGGUAUAUCAUAAAAUUUCCUCAGACUUUACAAAGUCUUGCCUCUUGCUUCCCUCCAGCAAAACCCGAUCUCUUGUGUUACAGUUGUGUCUUACUGUGUAGUCCCGAUUGCACAAGUACAUGCAUCUUUGUGGUAACACCAUGAAGAUGAAUUCCGUAAUAGUGUGAAAAUCAAUGUGAAAUUAGCUUGUUA